UACGAAGGGGGCUAGCGUUGCUCGGAAUCACUGGGCGUAAAGCGCACGUAGGCGGAUUGUUAAGUCAGGGGUGAAAUCCUGGAGCUCAACUCCAGAACUGCCUUUGAUACUGGCGAUCUUGAGUCCGGAAGAGGUGAGUGGAACUCCGAGUGUAGAGGUGAAAUUCGUAGAUAUUCGGAAGAACACCAGUGGCGAAGGCGGCUCACUGGCCCGGUACUGACGCUGAUGUGCGAAAGCGUGGGGAGCAAACAGG
rnacentral:rRNA from 1 species